AACAUAUGGAGAUAAGCAUUUUGCAAGACAAUAGUUCAGCAGGCAGACCGCUUGUUAUACAAAACAAAAGUACUUCCAUCUCCAUCAUCCAAAAUUGGGAAACCAUUCUAUCCCUUGUACACUGGGAAAUUAAACUAGCUCAAUCCAUCAUGUCUAGAGACAUUUGUCAGAAAAAAUAUAUCAGACUGACUGGCAAUCUAACUGCUCCAUUAGCUUCAAUGGAAUUGUGCCCACUUUCUACAUUUUGUCCAAGUGACAAAAAGAAAAACUGGUGAAAGGAGAAAAAAGAAAUAAGAAUAUGAGGAAAGAAACCAAAACCCCCAAAAUUCAAACAAAAAAAUUGAAAAUGAAAAUGUUUGUUUGAAUAAAUGGAAACCAUCCUUUUUUGGGACCCUUGGGAUGAAAAUGACUUUGACAAAUCAGCUCUAGUAACCAGUGCCUUCUGUGAUGACUGACCAGAGAAAAUGGGUCUUUGCUCUCUACAGAGCUAUUUAGUCCUUACUGAGCAGGGUUUUCUUGAUAGUGCCAUUGACAGGCA